GGGCCAUUAGCUCAAUUGGUAGAGCAGCGGACUCUUAAUCCGGAGGUUGCAGGUUCAAGUCUUGCAUGGCCCA
rnacentral:tRNA from 2 species